rnacentral:rRNA from 1 species
AACGAACGCUGGCGGCGUGGAUAAGACAUGCAAGUCGAACGGAGAUUCUUUAGAGCUUGCUUUAAAGGGUCUUAGUGGCGAACGGGUGAGUAACACGUGAGUUACCUGCCCCGAAGUGGGGGAUAGCCCGGAGAAAUUCGGAUUAAUACCCCAUGUGAUCGAAAGAUUAAAGGCGGCGCAAGCUGUCGCUUCGGGAUGGGCUCGCGGCCUAUCAGCUAGUUGGCGGGGUAACGGCCCACCAAGGCGAUGACGGGUAGCUGAUCUGAGAGGAUGAUCAGUCAAACUGGAACGGAGACACGGUCCAGACACCUGCGGGUGGCAGCAGUCGAGAAUCAUUCGCAAUGGGCGAAAGCCUGACGGUGCGACGCCGCGUGGAGGAUGAAGGCCCUAGGGUCGUAAACUCCUGUCAUCAGGGAGUAAAGACUCGUGUGGUAACUAACACGGGUCCUGAUAGUACCUGAAGAGGGAGGGACGGCAAACUUCGUGCCAGCAGCCGCGGUAA